GACAGAGGGUGCAAACGUUGCUCGGAAUCACUGGGCGUAAAGGGCGUGUAGGCGGGAAGGUAAGUCGGGUGUGAAAGCCCUCGGCUCAACCGAGGAACUGCGCCCGAUACUGCAUGGCUUGAGGUCCGGAGGGGAGAGUGGAAUUCCCGGUGGAGCGGUGAAAUGCGUAGAGAUCGGGAAGAACGCCGGCGGCGAAAGCGACUCUCUGGUCGGAAUCUGACGCUGAGGUGCGAAAGCUAGGGGAGCAAACGGG
rnacentral:rRNA from 1 species